rnacentral:ncRNA from 1 species
UGAUAGCGUUGAAGCGUGAGGUUGCUGCCGAUUAUCACCAUAGUAAUCUGGUAGGUUUUCCGUGGAGCGAAUGUCAAGUUAGGAAACUGGCGACAA